rnacentral:tRNA from 1 species
GCAGGUAUAGCACAACGGUUAGUGCAUCGGCUUGCCGAGCCGAGGAUGUGAGUUCGAUUCUCAUUACCUGCUCA